GCUAACUCCGUGCCAGCAGCCGCGGUAAUACGGAGGGUGCAAACGUUGUUCGGAAUCAUUGGGCGUAAAGGGCACGCAGGCGGUGUGUCAGGUCGGAUGUGAAAGCCCGGGGCUCAACCCCGGAAUUGCGUUCGAAACCGGCACGCUGGAAUCUUGGAGAGGGAAGUGGAAUUUCUGGUGUAGGGGUGAAAUCCGUAGAUAUCAGAAGGAAGACCAGCGGCGAAGGCGACUUCCUGGCCAAAGAUUGACGCUGAGGUGCGAAAGCGUGGGUAGCAAACAGGAUUAGAUACCCUUGUAGUC
rnacentral:rRNA from 1 species